UUUACGGCACGAGCCGGUAUUAGCGAAUCCGUCUCGCAGUGGACUGUACCAAAGUAGAGGAAUGUGCCUCGCCAGGGUGCUGAUGGUACGUUUAGUCCACUGGCAAAAUCCGAUCCCUGCCUCCUCGUGGCGCUGCCGGAUGUCGGUUUUGAUGAGCUUUGUCCGCUCGUUGAAGCCUAACCAAAGGGACGGUGCUGCUUUCCAAGGAAGGUGUACCAAAAGAAAGCAGCUGGAGCGAUGUUCGAACACAGCAUCCUUUAGGGAAUAGUCAGCUGUUUUCUGUAAACAGGUAUGAAAUGAUUCGUUCAUAAAGGUUUAAGCGAUCGUAACGACAGGUAUCGGUAUUGGAUGUUUGGGACCAGUGCUUUGUUCCUGGAUCGUAACAUGAGUAGGAAGGGGGCUGCCCAAGAGCCCCAGAGAAUGCUGUGAGGUGGGCAUCGGUACUGGUAGCUUGGAACCGGUACUAUUGGCUCAAUCACAAGCGCUCAACAGUGUGAGGGACGUCCAAGCGUCCUGGAGGGGACUGUGGGAUGAUCUUGAGCCCGGAACGAGACUGGGAAUCUCGGAGUACGGGCUUGAGAAAGGUUUGUUCACAAAUGUCCCAGAGAUAGUUAGACCGGGUAUCGGUAUUGGAUGUUUGGGACCAGUGCUUUGUUCCUGGAUCGUAACAUGAGUAGGAAGGGGGCUGCCCAAGAGCCCCAGAGAAUGCUGUGAGGUGGGCAUCGGUACUGGUAGCUUGGAACCGGUACUAUUGGCCCAAUCACAAGCGCUCAACUGUGGUGGAGGACGUCCAAGCGUCCUGGAGGGGACUGUGGAUGAUCUUGAGCCCGGAACGAGACUGGGAAUCUCGGAGUACGGGCUUGAGAAAGGUUUGAUCACAAAUGUCCCGUAGAUAGUUAGACCGGGUAUCGGUAUUGGAUGUUUGGGACCAGUACUUUGUUCCUGGAUCGUAACACGAGUAGGAAGGGGGCUGCCCAAGAGCCCCAGAGAAUGCUGUGAGGUGGGCAUCGGUACUGGUAGCUUGGAACCGGUACUAUUGGCCCAAUCACAAGCGCUCAACUGUGGUGAGGGACGUCCAAGCGUCCUGGAGGGGACUGUGGGAUGAUCUUGAGCCCGGAACGAGACUGGGAAUCUCGGAGUACGGGCUUGAGAAAGGUUUGAUCACAAAUGUCCCAGAGAUAGUUAGACCGGGUAUCGGUAUUGGAUGUUUGGGACCAGUGCUUUGUUCCUGGAUCGUAACACGAGUAGGAAGGGGGCUGCCCAAGAGCCCCAGAGAAUGCUGUGAGGUGGGCAUCGGUACUGGUAGCUUGGAACCGGUACUAUUGGCCCAAUCACAAGCGCUCAACUGUGGUGGAGGACGUCCAAGCGUCCUGGAGGGGACUGUGGAUGAUCUUGAGCCCGGAACGAGACUGGGAAUCUCGGAGUACGGGCUUGAGAAAGGUUUGAUCACAAAUGUCCCGUAGAUAGUUAGACCGGGUAUCGGUAUUGGAUGUUUGGGACCAGUACUUUGUUCCUGGAUCGUAACACGAGUAGGAAGGGGGCUGCCCAAGAGCCCCAGAGAAUGCUGUGAGGUGGGCAUCGGUACUGGUAGCUUGGAACCGGUACUAUUGGCCCAAUCACAAGCGCUCAACUGUGGUGAGGGACGUCCAAGCGUCCUGGAGGGGACUGUGGAUGAUCUUGAGCCCGGAACGAGACUGGGAAUCUCGGAGUACGGGCUUGAGAAAGGUUUGAUCACAAAUGUCCCAGAGAUAGUUAGACCGGGUAUCGGUAUUGGAUGUUUGGGACCAGUGCUUUGUUCCUGGAUCGUAACACGAGUAGGAAGGGGGCUGCCCAAGAGCCCCAGAGAAUGCUGUGAGGUGGGCAUCGGUACUGGUAGCUUGGAACCGGUACUAUUGGCCCAAUCACAAGCGCUCAACUGUGGUGAGGGACGUCCAAGCGUCCUGGAGGGGACUGUGGGAUGAUCUUGAGCCCGGAACGAGACUGGGAAUCUCGGAGUACGGGCUUGAGAAAGGUUUGAUCACAAAUGUCCCAGAGAUAGUUAGACCAGGUAUCGGUAUUGGAUGUUUGGGACCAGUGCUUUGUUCCUGGAUCGUAACACGAGUAGGAAGGGGGCUGCCCAAGAGCCCCAGAGAAUGCUGUGAGGUGGGCAUCGGUACUGGUAGCUUGGAACCGGUACUAUUGGCCCAAUCACAAGCGCUCAACUGUGGUGAGGGACGUCCAAGCGUCCUGGAGGGGACUGUGGGAUGAUCUUGAGCCCGGAACGAGACUGGGAAUCUCGGAGUACGGGCUUGAGAAAGGUUUGAUCACAAAUGUCCCAGAGAUAGUUAGACCAGGUAUCGGUAUUGGAUGUUUGGGACCAGUGCUUUGUUCCUGGAUCGUAACACGAGUAGGAAGGGGGCUGCCCAAGAGCUCCAGAGAAUGCGGUGAGGCGGGCAUCGGUACUGGUAGCUUGGAACCGGUACUAUUGGCCCAAUCACAAGCGCUCAACUGUGGUGAGGGACGUCCAAGCGUCCUGGAGGGGACUGUGGGAUGAUCUUGAGCCCGGAACGAGACUGGGAAUCUCGGAGUACGGGCUUGAGAAAGGUUUGAUCACAAAUGUCCAAGAGAUAGUUAGACCAGGUUUCGGUAUUGGAUGUUUGGGACCAGUGCUUUGUUCCUGGAUCGUAACACGAGUAGGAAGGGGGGCUGCCCAAGAGCCCCAGAGAAUGCUGUGAGGUGGGCAUCGGUACUGGUAGCUUGGAACCGGUACUAUUGGCCCAAUCACAAGCGCUCAACUGUGGUGAGGGACGUCCAAGCGUCCUGGAGGGGACUGUGGGAUGAUCUUGAGCCCGGAACGAGACUGGGAAUCUCGGAGUACGGGCUUGAGAAAGGUUUGAUCACAAAUGUCCCAGAGAUAGUUAGACCAGGUAUCGGUAUUGGAUGUUUGGGACCAGUGCUUUGUUCCUGGAUCGUAACACGAGUAGGAAGGGGGCUGCCCAAGAGCCCCAGAGAAUGCUGUGAGGUGGGCAUCGGUACUGGUAGCUUGGAACCGGUACUAUUGGCCCAAUCACAAGCGCUCAACUGUGGUGAGGGACGUCCAAGCGUCCUGGAGGGGACUGUGGAUGAUCUUGAGCCCAGAACGAGACUGGGAAUCUCGGAGUACGGGCUUGAGAAAGGUUUGAUCACAAAUGUCCCAGAGAUAGUUAGACCAGGUAUCGGUAUUGGAUGUUUGGGACCAGUGCUUUGUUCCUGGAUCGUAACACGAGUAGGAAGGGGGCUGCCCAAGAGCCCCAGAGAAUGCUGUGAGGUGGGCAUCGGUACUGGUAGCUUGGAACCGGUACUAUUGGCCCAAUCACAAGCGCUCAACUGUGGUGAGGGACGUCCAAGCGUCCUGGAGGGGACUGUGGGAUGAUCUUGAGCCCGGAACGAGACUGGGAAUCUCGGAGUACGGGCUUGAGAAAGGUUUGUUCACAAAUGUCCCGUAGAUAGUUAGACCGGGUAUCGGUAUUGGAUGUUUGGGACCAGUGCUUUGUUCCUGGAUCGUAACACGAGUAGGAAGGGGGCUGCCCAAGAGCCCCAGAGAAUGCUGUGAGGUGGGCAUCGGUACUGGUAGCUUGGAACCGGUACUAUUGGCCCAAUCACAAGCGCUCAACUGUGGUGGAGGACGUCCAAGCGUCCUGGAGGGGACUGUGGGAUGAUCUUGAGCCCGGAACGAGACUGGGAAUCUCGGAGUACGGGCUUGAGAAAGGUUUGAUCACAAAUGUCCCAGAGAUAGUUAGACCGGGUAUCGGUAUUGGAUGUUUGGGACCAGUGCUUUGUUCCUGGAUCGUAAUAUGAGUAGGAAGGGGGCUGCCCAAGAGCCCCAGAGAAUGCUGUGAGGUGGGCAUCGGUACUGGUAGCUUGGAACCGGUACUAUUGGCCCAAUCACAAGCGCUCAACUGUGGUGGAGGACGUCCAAGCGUCCUGGAGGGGACUGUGGAUGAUCUUGAGCCCGGAACGAGACUGGGAAUCUCGGAGUACGGGCUUGAGAAAGGUUUGAUCACAAAUGUCCCGUAGAUAGUUAGACCGGGUAUCGGUAUUGGAUGUUUGGGACCAGUACUUUGUUCCUGGAUCGUAACACGAGUAGGAAGGGGGCUGCCCAAGAGCCCCAGAGAAUGCUGUGAGGUGGGCAUCGGUACUGGUAGCUUGGAACCGGUACUAUUGGCCCAAUCACAAGCGCUCAACUGUGGUGGAGGACGUCCAAGCGUCCUGGAGGGGACUGUGGGAUGAUCUUGAGCCCGGAACGAGACUGGGAAUCUCGGAGUACGGGCUUGAGAAAGGUUUGAUCACAAAUGUCCCGUAGAUAGUUAGACCGGGUAUCGGUAUUGGAUGUUUGGGACCAGUACUUUGUUCCUGGAUCGUAACACGAGUAGGAAGGGGGGCUGCCCAAGAGCCCCAGAGAAUGCUGUGAGGUGGGCAUCGGUACUGGUAGCUUGGAACCGGUACUAUUGGCCCAAUCACAAGCGCUCAACUGUGGUGGAGGACGUCCAAGCGUCCUGGAGGGGACUGUGGGAUGAUCUUGAGCCCGGAACGAGACUGGGAAUCUCGGAGUACGGGCUUGAGAAAGGUUUGAUCACAAAUGUCCCAGAGAUAGUUAGACCGGGUAUCGGUAUUGGAUGUUUGGGACCAGUGCUUUGUUCCUGGAUCGUAACACGAGUAGGAAGGGGGCUGCCCAAGAGCCCCAGAGAAUGCUGUGAGGUGGGCAUCGGUACUGGUAGCUUGGAACCGGUACUAUUGGCCCAAUCACAAGCGCUCAACUGUGGUGAGGGACGUCCAAGCGUCCUGGAGGGGACUGUGGAUGAUCUUGAGCCCAGAACGAGACUGGGAAUCUCGGAGUACGGGCUUGAGAAAGGUUUGAUCACAAAUGUCCCAGAGAUAGUUAGACCAGGUAUCGGUAUUGGAUGUUUGGGACCAGUGCUUUGUUCCUGGAUCGUAACACGAGUAGGAAGGGGGCUGCCCAAGAGCCCCAGAGAAUGCUGUGAGGUGGGCAUCGGUACUGGUAGCUUGGAACCGGUACUAUUGGCCCAAUCACAAGCGCUCAACUGUGGUGGAGGACGUCCAAGCGUCCUGGAGGGGACUGUGGGAUGAUCUUGAGCCCAGAACGAGACUGGGAAUCUCGGAGUACGGGCUUGAGAAAGGUUUGAUCACAAAUGUCCCAGAGAUAGUUAGACCAGGUAUCGGUAUUGGAUGUUUGGGACCAGUGCUUUGUUCCUGGAUCGUAACAUGAGUAGGAAGGGGGCUGCCCAAGAGCCCCAGAGAAUGCUGUGAGGUGGGCAUCGGUACUGGUAGCUUGGAACCGGUACUAUUGGCUCAAUCACAAGCGCUCAACAGUGUGAGGGACGUCCAAGCGUCCUGGAGGGGACUGUGGGAUGAUCUUGAGCCCGGAACGAGACUGGGAAUCUCGGAGUACGGGCUUGAGAAAGGUUUGUUCACAAAUGUCCCAGAGAUAGUUAGACCGGGUAUCGGUAUUGGAUGUUUGGGACCAGUGCUUUGUUCCUGGAUCGUAACAUGAGUAGGAAGGGGGCUGCCCAAGAGCCCCAGAGAAUGCUGUGAGGUGGGCAUCGGUACUGGUAGCUUGGAACCGGUACUAUUGGCCCAAUCACAAGCGCUCAACUGUGGUGGAGGACGUCCAAGCGUCCUGGAGGGGACUGUGGAUGAUCUUGAGCCCGGAACGAGACUGGGAAUCUCGGAGUACGGGCUUGAGAAAGGUUUGAUCACAAAUGUCCCAGAGAUAGUUAGACCGGGUAUCGGUAUUGGAUGUUUGGGACCAGUGCUUUGUUCCUGGAUCGUAACACGAGUAGGAAGGGGGCUGCCCAAGAGCCCCAGAGAAUGCUGUGAGGUGGGCAUCGGUACUGGUAGCUUGGAACCGGUACUAUUGGCCCAAUCACAAGCGCUCAACUGUGGUGAGGGACGUCCAAGCGUCCUGGAGGGGACUGUGGGAUGAUCUUGAGCCCGGAACGAGACUGGGAAUCUCGGAGUACGGGCUUGAGAAAGGUUUGAUCACAAAUGUCCCAGAGAUAGUUAGACCAGGUAUCGGUAUUGGAUGUUUGGGACCAGUGCUUUGUUCCUGGAUCGUAACACGAGUAGGAAGGGGGCUGCCCAAGAGCCCCAGAGAAUGCUGUGAGGUGGGCAUCGGUACUGGUAGCUUGGAACCGGUACUAUUGGCCCAAUCACAAGCGCUCAACUGUGGUGAGGGACGUCCAAGCGUCCUGGAGGGGACUGUGGGAUGAUCUUGAGCCCGGAACGAGACUGGGAAUCUCGGAGUACGGGCUUGAGAAAGGUUUGAUCACAAAUGUCCCAGAGAUAGUUAGACCAGGUAUCGGUAUUGGAUGUUUGGGACCAGUGCUUUGUUCCUGGAUCGUAACACGAGUAGGAAGGGGGCUGCCCAAGAGCUCCAGAGAAUGCGGUGAGGCGGGCAUCGGUACUGGUAGCUUGGAACCGGUACUAUUGGCCCAAUCACAAGCGCUCAACUGUGGUGAGGGACGUCCAAGCGUCCUGGAGGGGACUGUGGGAUGAUCUUGAGCCCGGAACGAGACUGGGAAUCUCGGAGUACGGGCUUGAGAAAGGUUUGAUCACAAAUGUCCAAGAGAUAGUUAGACCAGGUUUCGGUAUUGGAUGUUUGGGACCAGUGCUUUGUUCCUGGAUCGUAACACGAGUAGGAAGGGGGGCUGCCCAAGAGCCCCAGAGAAUGCUGUGAGGUGGGCAUCGGUACUGGUAGCUUGGAACCGGUACUAUUGGCCCAAUCACAAGCGCUCAACUGUGGUGAGGGACGUCCAAGCGUCCUGGAGGGGACUGUGGGAUGAUCUUGAGCCCGGAACGAGACUGGGAAUCUCGGAGUACGGGCUUGAGAAAGGUUUGAUCACAAAUGUCCCAGAGAUAGUUAGACCAGGUAUCGGUAUUGGAUGUUUGGGACCAGUGCUUUGUUCCUGGAUCGUAACACGAGUAGGAAGGGGGCUGCCCAAGAGCCCCAGAGAAUGCUGUGAGGUGGGCAUCGGUACUGGUAGCUUGGAACCGGUACUAUUGGCCCAAUCACAAGCGCUCAACUGUGGUGAGGGACGUCCAAGCGUCCUGGAGGGGACUGUGGAUGAUCUUGAGCCCAGAACGAGACUGGGAAUCUCGGAGUACGGGCUUGAGAAAGGUUUGAUCACAAAUGUCCCAGAGAUAGUUAGACCAGGUAUCGGUAUUGGAUGUUUGGGACCAGUGCUUUGUUCCUGGAUCGUAACACGAGUAGGAAGGGGGCUGCCCAAGAGCCCCAGAGAAUGCUGUGAGGUGGGCAUCGGUACUGGUAGCUUGGAACCGGUACUAUUGGCCCAAUCACAAGCGCUCAACUGUGGUGAGGGACGUCCAAGCGUCCUGGAGGGGACUGUGGGAUGAUCUUGAGCCCGGAACGAGACUGGGAAUCUCGGAGUACGGGCUUGAGAAAGGUUUGUUCACAAAUGUCCCGUAGAUAGUUAGACCGGGUAUCGGUAUUGGAUGUUUGGGACCAGUGCUUUGUUCCUGGAUCGUAACACGAGUAGGAAGGGGGCUGCCCAAGAGCCCCAGAGAAUGCUGUGAGGUGGGCAUCGGUACUGGUAGCUUGGAACCGGUACUAUUGGCCCAAUCACAAGCGCUCAACUGUGGUGGAGGACGUCCAAGCGUCCUGGAGGGGACUGUGGGAUGAUCUUGAGCCCGGAACGAGACUGGGAAUCUCGGAGUACGGGCUUGAGAAAGGUUUGAUCACAAAUGUCCCAGAGAUAGUUAGACCAGGUAUCGGUAUUGGAUGUUUGGGACCAGUGCUUUGUUCCUGGAUCGUAACACGAGUAGGAAGGGGGCUGCCCAAGAGCCCCAGAGAAUGCUGUGAGGUGGGCAUCGGUACUGGUAGCUUGGAACCGGUACUAUUGGCCCAAUCACAAGCGCUCAACUGUGGUGAGGGACGUCCAAGCGUCCUGGAGGGGACUGUGGGAUGAUCUUGAGCCCGGAACGAGACUGGGAAUCUCGGAGUACGGGCUUGAGAAAGGUUUGAUCACAAAUGUCCCAGAGAUAGUUAGACCGGGUAUCGGUAUUGGAUGUUUGGGACCAGUGCUUUGUUCCUGGAUCGCAACAUGAGUAGGAAGGGGGCUGCCCAAGAGCCCCAGAGAAUGCUGUGAGGUGGGCAUCGGUACUGGUAGCUUGGAACCGGUACUAUUGGCCCAAUCACAAGCGCUCAACUGUGGUGGAGGACGUCCAAGCGUCCUGGAGGGGACUGUGGAUGAUCUUGAGCCCGGAACGAGACUGGGAAUCUCGGAGUACGGGCUUGAGAAAGGUUUGAUCACAAAUGUCCCGUAGAUAGUUAGACCGGGUAUCGGUAUUGGAUGUUUGGGACCAGUACUUUGUUCCUGGAUCGUAACACGAGUAGGAAGGGGGCUGCCCAAGAGCCCCAGAGAAUGCUGUGAGGUGGGCAUCGGUACUGGUAGCUUGGAACCGGUACUAUUGGCCCAAUCACAAGCGCUCAACUGUGGUGGAGGACGUCCAAGCGUCCUGGAGGGGACUGUGGGAUGAUCUUGAGCCCGGAACGAGACUGGGAAUCUCGGAGUACGGGCUUGAGAAAGGUUUGAUCACAAAUGUCCCGUAGAUAGUUAGACCGGGUAUCGGUAUUGGAUGUUUGGGACCAGUACUUUGUUCCUGGAUCGUAACACGAGUAGGAAGGGGGCUGCCCAAGAGCCCCAGAGAAUGCUGUGAGGUGGGCAUCGGUACUGGUAGCUUGGAACCGGUACUAUUGGCCCAAUCACAAGCGCUCAACUGUGGUGGAGGACGUCCAAGCGUCCUGGAGGGGACUGUGGGAUGAUCUUGAGCCCGGAACGAGACUGGGAAUCUCGGAGUACGGGCUUGAGAAAGGUUUGAUCACAAAUGUCCCAGAGAUAGUUAGACCGGGUAUCGGUAUUGGAUGUUUGGGACCAGUGCUUUGUUCCUGGAUCGUAACACGAGUAGGAAGGGGGCUGCCCAAGAGCCCCAGAGAAUGCUGUGAGGUGGGCAUCGGUACUGGUAGCUUGGAACCGGUACUAUUGGCCCAAUCACAAGCGCUCAACUGUGGUGGAGGACGUCCAAGCGUCCUGGAGGGGACUGUGGAUGAUCUUGAGCCCGGAACGAGACUGGGAAUCUCGGAGUACGGGCUUGAGAAAGGUUUGAUCACAAAUGUUCCGUAGAUAGUUAGACCGGGUAUCGGUAUUGGAUGUUUGGGACCAGUACUUUGUUCCUGGAUCGUAACACGAGUAGGAAGGGGGCUGCCCAAGAGCCCCAGAGAAUGCUGUGAGGUGGGCAUCGGUACUGGUAGCUUGGAACCGGUACUAUUGGCCCAAUCACAAGCGCUCAACUGUGGUGAGGGACGUCCAAGCGUCCUGGAGGGGACUGUGGAUGAUCUUGAGCCCGGAACGAGACUGGGAAUCUCGGAGUACGGGCUUGAGAAAGGUUUGAUCACAAAUGUCCCAGAGAUAGUUAGACCGGGUAUCGGUAUUGGAUGUUUGGGACCAGUGCUUUGUUCCUGGAUCGUAACACGAGUAGGAAGGGGGCUGCCCAAGAGCCCCAGAGAAUGCUGUGAGGUGGGCAUCGGUACUGGUAGCUUGGAACCGGUACUAUUGGCCCAAUCACAAGUGCUCAACUGUGGUGGAGGACGUCCAAGCGUCCUGGAGGGGACUGUGGAUGAUCUUGAGCCCGGAACGAGACUGGGAAUCUCGGAGUACGGGCUUGAGAAAGGUUUGAUCACAAAUGUCCCGUAGAUAGUUAGACCGGGUAUCGGUAUUGGAUGUUUGGGACCAGUACUUUGUUCCUGGAUCGUAACACGAGUAGGAAGGGGGCUGCCCAAGAGCCCCAGAGAAUGCUGUGAGGUGGGCAUCGGUACUGGUAGCUUGGAACCGGUACUAUUGGCCCAAUCACAAGCGCUCAACUGUGGUGAGGGACGUCCAAGCGUCCUGGAGGGGACUGUGGGAUGAUCUUGAGCCCGGAACGAGACUGGGAAUCUCGGAGUACGGGCUUGAGAAAGGUUUGAUCACAAAUGUCCCAGAGAUAGUUAGACCGGGUAUCGGUAUUGGAUGUUUGGGACCAGUGCUUUGUUCCUGGAUCGUAACACGAGUAGGAAGGGGGCUGCCCAAGAGCCCCAGAGAAUGCUGUGAGGUGGGCAUCGGUACUGGUAGCUUGGAACCGGUACUAUUGGCCCAAUCACAAGUGCUCAACUGUGGUGGAGGACGUCCAAGCGUCCUGGAGGGGACUGUGGAUGAUCUUGAGCCCGGAACGAGACUGGGAAUCUCGGAGUACGGGCUUGAGAAAGGUUUGAUCACAAAUGUCCCGUAGAUAGUUAGACCGGGUAUCGGUAUUGGAUGUUUGGGACCAGUACUUUGUUCCUGGAUCGUAACACGAGUAGGAAGGGGGCUGCCCAAGAGCCCCAGAGAAUGCUGUGAGGUGGGCAUCGGUACUGGUAGCUUGGAACCGGUACUAUUGGCCCAAUCACAAGCGCUCAACUGUGGUGAGGGACGUCCAAGCGUCCUGGAGGGGACUGUGGGAUGAUCUUGAGCCCGGAACGAGACUGGGAAUCUCGGAGUACGGGCUUGAGAAAGGUUUGAUCACAAAUGUCCCAGAGAUAGUUAGACCGGGUAUCGGUAUUGGAUGUUUGGGACCAGUGCUUUGUUCCUGGAUCGUAACAUGAGUAGGAAGGGGGCUGCCCAAGAGCCCCAGAGAAUGCUGUGAGGUGGGCAUCGGUACUGGUAGCUUGGAACCGGUACUAUUGGCCCAAUCACAAGCGCUCAACUGUGGUGGAGGACGUCCAAGCGUCCUGGAGGGGACUGUGAGAUGAUCUUGAGCCCGGAACGAGACUGGGAAUCUCGGAGUACGGGCUUGAGAAAGGUUUGAUCACAAAUGUCCCAGAGAUAGUUAGACCAGGUAUCGGUAUUGGAUGUUUGGGACCAGUGCUUUGUUCCUGGAUCGUAACACGAGUAGGAAGGGGGCUGCCCAAGAGCCCCAGAGAAUGCUGUGAGGUGGGCAUCGGUACUGGUAGCUUGGAACCGGUACUAUUGGCCCAAUCACAAGCGCUCAACUGUGGUGAGGGACGUCCAAGCGUCCUGGAGGGGACUGUGGGAUGAUCUUGAGCCCGGAACGAGACUGGGAAUCUCGGAGUUCGGGCUUGAGAAUGCUACCCUACCUAUAGUUUGCUCUGAAGUGGGCAUCGGUACUGGUGGCUUGGAUCUGGUACUAUUGGCCCAAUCAGGAGGAUUUAGUAAGGAGAGAUUUCCAAGCGUCUAAAAGGGGAACAGUGUUUUUGUGUUGCAGUGCUUGUUUUCGUUACUGGUACUGUGGACACGGAAACUGUAUUCCAGUAACCGGGAAAAAGGUUGGUGUUUACCUUAUACCUGGAGUUACUCAGUUUGAGUUCAAAAAAUAUAACACAAUUAUAAAAAAUACAAAAAAAGAAGAGAUGGCAGGAGUAGAGGACGAAAAGAAAAAUAAUUAAUUAGGUUUCACAUGUGAGUAAAUGUUUGACGCAGAAAGUACAAAUACAAUGUAAAAGAUAGUUAUAAUAUAUUUUACAAAUCAUUCCGUUGCAAAUUCACAUCAAUGUUAACAAGUAUAAAAAUCAUCAAAUGACGAUGUAUUAGAUGAUUGGCGGUGUUCUCGUAAAUCCAGCGUUUGCCUAUUCCGUUGUUCUCGUAAAUUUAAAUUCAUCGCAAGUUGAUUAUGAUUUAGGAGUAUUUUCCCAUCAGACAUUAAGUGCCAUCAAGUACCAGAUUAUACCUCAUUUACUUUUUACAAAAGUUCUAGCAUAUAUCAAAACCAACACAUAACUAAGCGAAUAUGGAAGUAAGUUGCACGAGCCACAUGAACUGUUGUUCAUAAAUACUGAUAGAGUUUCAAAAAUCAAUUAAAGUAUAGGGAAAAUAGUAAUGUGAUAAUGAAAGCAAUUCGGUUCAAACAAGAAGUUUGUAAAUCAAUAUUGAAGAUUAGAAAAUAAUUAAGUAUCAAAGAUCAUGUUGCUGGUGAUACAGUUUGCAGCAGAAAGGCCUGAUAGAAACUUGUUGAAAUAACAACCGUACACAUUUUGAGCAGAGAAAAACCAUCAUCGAUCUCCCGGAUUUGUGCUAGGUUUCCCAACUGAUUUCUCUAUAGAUUCUGACCAUGUUUUUAAGUGAAACAUAACAUUAGAGUCUUAUACAAUAGAGACAUAUAUAAUGGGCCGGUCCCGCGAACCAGUCGUCAACUCGUACGUUUCAAUGGUAUGCUUGUGAUGGGUUCAAGCCUAGAAUGGACCCCGGUGUUCCCCCGGUGGCAACGACCAACUAUUCGACUAAGUGGUACCUGUAUAAGCCUUGAAAACCUAUAUAAUCCAGCGUGUCCGCAUAGAACGCUACGCCAAAUGGAGGAAGAAGAAGAACAAUAGAGCAAAGAAACAGAGCAUGAAUGUCAACUACAAUCGCGCCAACAUGGGUGCUGGUGGAUAUGGUGCAUCGAAUGUUAUGAAUGAAUCGAUCGAAAGUCGUUGGACAGUUGCGGAGCUGCGAUGAACUCGAGUGAUCUUGUAGCAGAAUAACAAGCCAAUUGGAUUCGAAAACGAAAUCCAGACUUUGCUUCAUAAACGAUGACGAAGUAGUAAUACAUGAACAUACAUACAUGAACAUCACCCAGCAUCGUAUUGUAAGCGGAAAGGGGAAUGAUGAUGGUUUUUUCGAAACAGCAAACUAAUGCUCACAUCACAUGCAUUUAAAGAAUGACAACAUUGGGUACUCAUCAUGGUAUGACAGUUUUGGAUGAACUUUGUUCGUUGGACUUGUUCACUAUAAGACCAACUAACUGACUGAAAUUUCUGCUGUGCCCCAUGAGCUCAAGAUGGAGUAAUACCCUAUAGCGGAGCCUUCCGCCGGCAUAUUAUUCUCAACGGCCACAAAGACUGGCCACGCAGUAUUGCUAUCACCGGCUAUGAUCGAUGCCUAAUAACUUCAACAAUCUUUGGUCAACAUGUUGAACUUCGGGAAACAAAUGUUGAAAUAGUUGCGCUUUGAGUUUAGAAUUCGUCAAAAAAGAUUCCUUUGAUUAUCAAAAAACCUUUCAUACCCAACAUCAGUUAACAGAACAGAAAAUACGGAACGAUGAAGAGUGGAAUAUUUUAUCGUUAGACAACAACAUACCAUUUUUAGAGAACAUAGACAGGAAUAGUUUGAGUUUGAAUAAAAUACGAUACUAUAUACAGGAUAUACGAACACGUCCAAAUAAUUGCAGGCAUCCAAAUUCAUUUUCAGACAUAAAAUGUGUAGGUUACACAAAAAUGUAUUUCCGUGAUUUGUAAUAAAACUGGAUUGAAAACAAGA